GACGAACGCUGGCGGCGUGCCUAAUACAUGCAAGUCGAACGCUUCUUUCCUCCCGAGUGCUUGCACUCAAUUGGAAAGAGGAGUGGCGGACGGGUGAGUAACACGUGGGUAACCUACCCAUCAGAGGGGGAUAACACUUGGAAACAGGUGCUAAUACCGCAUAACAGUUUAUGCCGCAUGGCAUAAGAGUGAAAGGCGCUUUCGGGUGUCGCUGAUGGAUGGACCCGCGGUGCAUUAGCUUGUUGGUGAGGUAACGGCUCACCAAGGCCACGAUGCAUAGCCGACCUGAGAGGGUGAUCGGCCACACUGGGACUGAGACACGGCCCAGACUCCUACGGGAGGCAGCAGUAGGGAAUCUUCGGCAAUGGACGAAAGUCUGACCGAGCAACGCCGCGUGAGUGAAGAAGGUUUUCGGAUCGUAAAACUCUGUUGUUAGAGAAGAACAAGGACGUUAGUAACUGAACGUCCCCUGACGGUAUCUAACCAGAAAGCCACGGCUAACUACGUG
rnacentral:rRNA from 1 species